UACAGAUUCAUUCUGUUCACUUAAAACAUCUCAUUCUCCUAAAAUACAAACUUUACAGAGGGAAGCACAGCACAGGAGGGCUUAAUUAUUGAGCCCCACACAUCUUUAGGAUUCAAGCAGAGCCGUGUUUACCUGCCUUUUUUUUUUUUAACCUGACCACUGGUAUCAACUUUGAUGCUUGAAGGAGGCGACUGGAUCAUCAUCUUUCUGGAUGAGAGAGAUGUGAGGGGCUUUGGUGGGUACUGUGGGUAGUAUAGCAGGCCCAGUGUGGUUGCUUGAGUUGGUAUUGUGGACAUUUUUGCUUUCUAGAUUUGUUCUUCCUACCUCAUCUUUAGGAAAGCCCCAGUGCCUUCAGUGUUUGCUUUGAUAAAUUUAGAUGAGACGUAGUGUCUUUCCUCCGUGUUCCUGGGCAGUGAUGCCACCAUGUUGCUGUUAGUGACAAGUACUUUCAAAAGGGCUUGGGUCCUCUUCCAUGUGAGAGACACAUUCAAAUGGGCAACUAAACUUCAACCCUCUCCCCCACUUACAGGAUGUAACUGUCAAGAAUAGACAAUGAUCCUCUUAGCUGGCUAAUGUCAAAUUCCCAGGUGCUGUGUAUGGUUUUUACCUGUGGUGGAAAAGGGAGGGCUCCAGGAAAGAAUUGCUGACCUGGUGGGCAUUCCAUGCUGUUACUGUACAUUUCCUAAGGAGUGGUUGGAAGUCUUGGACACUUACCCGCCAUGUAGCACAUAUAAGAUUGUGUGCAAGAAACCAAGGAACCCUGGAAGCUGUACCUCUAGGUCUGUGAUAUGCCUCUAGACAUGCUCUGAGGCUUCCAGAGGAGUGGACCCCAGCAGCCAUCACGAUGGUGGCAAAAGUCAAUGGGGACUGACACAACCCUAGACUGAAAACUCAGUUAGAGAGGUUGAGAACAGAGACCAGGGGACCACAAAAAUUAUUGAAUACAGAGAUUCAUGGAGCUGUGGCCUGAGCUUAGCUGUAAAACAGUACAGCCUGUGAUAGUCCCCGUUUACCUCUUUAUGGAUCUUAAACAACUUUUAAAUUGCUGUAGAUCAGCCCCGAAUAAACAAAUCUAAACGUGCGUGCCUAUAGUAAGAGUAGACAAGCAAUGCUACCUUGUUAAGUGUA
rnacentral:lncRNA from 1 species